CCCCGAAUCAAGUCCUUACAUUUUAACCUGCAUUGCUGAGAAAUUCCUUCUCUGGUCUCAGACGAUUCAGCGCAUGCCAAGAAUGCUGGCUCCGUUUAGGAAUUUGAAGAAAACAACCAUUGGUCCGUCUCCUGUUCUUCAGAGCCGCCCAGAGUUCUCUUGCAUUCCCUAACAUCUGGGAUUGCAACGACCAUGCAAAUUGUCCUCGCUCCUCUGCUCUCCGUGCUCCCCACACCCGGCCCCCUCCCUCCUGUCUUCUCAGCUUCUGACAGGUGUUAGCAAGAAUCUAAAGUUCAAAAGUUUCUCCAGGUCAGGAAUCCAGGAGCAGCUCAGCUGGAUGGUUCUGGCUCAGGAUCUCUCAUGAAGCCGGAAUUAGAUAUUGGCUGUGGCUGUGGUCAUCUAAAGGCCUGACGUGGGCUGGCGGCAUCUUUACUACCUGGCUAUUGGCGGGAGGCAGCGUUGCUCACCACGUGGACUCCUCCACGGGGCUGCUUGAGUGUUCUCACAACGUGGCAGCUGGCUUCCCCCCCCGCCCCCCCCAGCAGGCGAUCCAAAAGACAGCAAGGCAGAAGCCGCAGCAUCUUUAUGACGCAGCCCCAGAAGUCAGGCAUCGUCAUUUCCUCAACGUCCUAUUGGUCAUUGGGCGAGCCCUUUUCAGUGUGGGAGGGGCCAUGCAAAGGCGUGAAAAUCAGGAGACGAGAUGCCUGGGGGCCACGUUGGAGGCUGGCUGUGACAGUACUCUUUUCAGUUCCAUUUGCAGAUGAGAAAAAUUCCAAUUAAUAAAUGGAGAAGGAAUGAGGGAAAGAGAAAUAAUUGCUGUAGGCAAGACCCACUGCUGGAUGCUAAAAUUAGUGGGGAAAGGGUGAGGCGGAACAAGAGAGUCUCAAAGGAUCUCCCCCAGGAUAUUUAUUAAUUGCAAAGGGAAAGAGGGCAACUUCACAGUGGAGAAACCCAGCAGACGCCACCGUAACUAAGUGAUCGGCGUCUACGUCACCGGUAAAGGAGACACGGACAUCAUGGGCCGCCUGACACAGCACCGAGAAGGAUAGAGCUUGACUUCUCUGAUGUUCAUGCCCAAAAUGUGCAAUCUCAAUCCAGUCAUGAGAUUGAGAAAUACCCUGCAAAACACCUGGCCAGUACUCCUCAGAGGUGUCAAGGAAAGUGACGAAGAAAGACUUAGGAACCGUCACCACCAAGAAGAGACUAAGGAAAGGCCGGCCUGGUGGCGCAGCGGUUAAGUACGCACAUUCUGCUUUGGUGGCCCUGGGUUCUCUGGUUCAGAUCCCGGGUGUGGACAUGGCACCGCUUAUCAAGCCAUGCUGUGGAAAUGCUUAGGCACAACUUUUCUCCAAGACUUGAAGCAGCGGCCAGAAGCUACGAAGGCAAAUCGAUGGCGUGUUGUGCAGCCGCUCGGCGACCAUGUUUGGGGACGUGAAUUUCCAAGACGGUAGAUGACUGUCAAAUUCCAAACAAAGCGAAGGCUGAUUGUUCCAGGAUUUCCGUGGCCGUUAACGUCGUCGAAUAUUCUGUGUAUGACAACGUUGUACCAAAUGCACUUUAUGGUUAUACACAAAACAGAGUUUUAGAAAAUGUGGCUCCUGGAGAAUUUACACGUACAUGAGUGGUGUGUGUCCUAAUCUGGCAGGCAGUGCUGAUCCGGAUGUGGGCUGUGAGUGUGGACAGCCCGUGUGCUGAGGGCACGGGGUCGGAGGGGAGGGACACGAGGAAGGCGUUUUGCCUUAGCCCGAGGCCCAAGGUUAACUGCACUUAUAACCACAGCUCUCUCUCUUUUUGUUUUUGUUUUUUAUUGAGUUGAAAUUCACAUAACAUAAAAUUAACCGUUUAACGUGAUAUUUACUGCAUCCACAAUGUUAUGCAACUACCACCUCUAAUUCCAAAACAUUUUCAUCAGCCCUAAAGGAAAUCUUGUACCCAUAAGCAGGUUGUCUCCAUUCUCCCUGAACCCCAACUUCUG
rnacentral:lncRNA from 1 species